GCUCAGUACUUCCCAGUAAAGAGUUUUACUCUUUGGCUGGGCUGCAUGAGGAACACUACUUCACUGUCAAGAAUUUCAACAUUCCCUAAAUAUUUCUCUAAUCAUGGAGAUAAUAUCAAACACCAAAAGCUCAUUCAGUUAUCUCAAGAACCAAAUUGGAUUCAAUCUCUCGACGCAACUAAGGCUCUUCACGCACUCACAAUAACAAUGGGGCAACACCCAACUCAACCCUUUUUGGCGAAUAACACUAUCAUGUUCAAGUAUUCUGUAUUCGGUGAUAUCUGCAUUGCACGCAAGGUGUUUGAUAAUAUGUCCAAAAGAAAUGUUGCGUCAUACAAUACAAUGAUUAGUGGUUAUAGUCGGAAUGGAAGUUUAUUAGAGGCUUGGAAGUUGUUUUCUGAGAUGAGGGGUUGUGGAUAUGUGCCGACUCAGUUUAGUUUUGGUGGGGUUUUGGGUUGUGAGUGUUUGGAUGUUAUUCAAGGAUUUCAGUUGCAAGCGUUGGCUGAAAAAUUGGGGCUGUUUUUCGUUGAUGCUGUAACAGGGACUGCAUUAUUGGGUUUACUUGGAAGGAAAGGAUGGUUAGAUGAAGCUAUGCAGGUUUUCGACGAAAUGCCUAAAAGGAAUUUGGUGACUUUGAAUUGUAUGAUAUCCUUGUUUGGACAGUAUGAAUGUGUUGAGGAGUCAAUGAUGGUGUUAAGGAGGUUAUUAAGGAGUGGAAUGGCUCCUUCCGAGAGCACUUUCGUGGGCAUAUUGGCCGGUUUUGUUGGGGAACUUGAUUUGAUAUUAGGGGAACUAGUACAUGGGUUGGUAGUGAAAAAUGGACUGGAUUUUUCUGUUUCAGUGAAUAAUUCAUUGAUUAACAUGUAUGCGAAAUGCUCUGACAUACAUAUGGCGGAGAAAAUGUUUGAAGAUGUUCCUGUUAAGGAUGUUGUGUCGUGGAAUACAAUGGUUGGUGCAAUGGCGAAGAUUGAAAGAGCGGAUAGGGCAUUGGUUGUUUUAAGGAAAAUGUGUGUAAGUGGCGUAUUGCUUAAUGAUACGAGUUAUGUGAGUGCCCUAAGUUGCUGCACUAGCCAGCAGUUUCGAUUGCUUGGGGAGUCCAUCCAUGCGAAAGUAAUCCAGAAAAAGUUUGAAUCUGAUGUAUAUGUCGGUAGUGCUUUACUUGACUUUUAUGUUAAAUGUGAUAGAUUGGAUGAUGCUCAUGUUUGCUUUGAUGAAAUAUCGGAGAAGAAUGUGGUUUCUUGGAAUACGUUGAUGUUGGGUUAUUCGAGUAAAGGUUCUUCUUAUGUUAUUACGCUGCUUCAACAAAUGAUUCACUCGGGUUGUCUUCCCACUGAGUUUUCUUUUUCUAUUGCUGUGAAAUCGUCAGGACUAUUAGAGGUACUUCAGCUCCAUUCUUUGUCCAUAAAAAUGGGUUACAUUGAUAAUGAUUAUGUCUCUAGCAGUUUCAUUUCUUCGUAUGCAAAAUCUAGUUCAGUUGAUGAUGCCCUAAGGUUUGUCACUACCAAUGACAUGCCACUUCCUGUUGUUGCAUCCAAUAUGAUCGCAAAUAUUUAUAACAGAAAUGGACAAUUCGAUAAGACUCAAGAGUUGUUUUCGGACCUUGAAAAUCCAGAUACUGUAUCUUGGAAUAUCUUGAUUGCAGCCUGUUCUAGAAAUGGUGAUUACGAAGAAGUUUUUGAACUUCUUGGACACAUGCGGAUGGCUAGAGUAUCUCCUGAUAGAUACACAUAUGUUAGCCUGUUUAGUGUGUGCACCAAGCUUUGUAACCUUGGUCUAGGUAGCUCACUUCAUGGCCUCAUUAUAAAGACUGAUUUUAAGCGUUGUGACACAUUUGUCUGCAAUAUCAUGAUUGACAUGUAUGGCAAAUGCGGGAGUCUUGCAAGUUCAAUCAAGAUUUUCAAUGAAAUGACGACUAAAAAUGUGAUCACAUGGACAACCAUUGUUUCAGCCCUUGGACUGCACGGUUAUGCACACGAGGCAUUAGAGAAAUUCAAGGAGAUGGAUAUGAACGGAAUUAAACCUGAUAAGGUUGUUUUCGUAGCUGUGCUUUCAGCAUGUAGGCACGUUGGAUUAGUGAAAGAGGGAAUGAAAUUGUUUGGGCAGAUGAAAGGGAAAUAUGGGGUAGAACCAGAGAUGGAUCACUAUCUUAUUGCAGUGGACUUGUUGGCUAGGUAUGGCUAUUUGACAGAAGCCGAGCAGUUAAUCACUGGGAUGCCUUUCCCUCCAAAUGCUCUAAUAUGGCGCAUUUUUUUGGAAGGCUGCAAGAAAAAGAGAAGCAUAGACGACACUAUCGCUCUUGCUUCAUAAAAUAUGUGUGAUGCAGAGGACUACUAUUGAAAGUAAUGAUCAUGUUGCUUGAUGGAGCUUAUUUAUUGUUUUCUCCCAACAACAUAUGAACAAACAGGAAACUGGUGUAUUGAUAACAUGAUGUUGCCUCAACCGGUUACAAGGUCGAUGGAUUAUCAAGGUAUGAGUUAGUUCCUUGAUUAUUACUGAUGCAGCUGUUGUUUCUUCUGACGGAAAACUAAAUUCAACAUCAAAUGGAUGCUCUUAAGUAGAUUAUUGGAAGAUCUUUUCAUGUACUUACCUUAACAAAUCUGCUUUUAGUUUUUUCCUACUGAAGGUUGAAUAGCUUACAGAGAUCGACUUGUCCGAGCAUGAAUGACUAAGAAAUCAUCAAGUACAAAUUGGUCUAAACUAAUCACAAACAAAACAGAGGAAACAGGUGAGAUCUAAAGAAGUCUACCACUAAAGAAUGUGGUGCAGUGGAUGAGUCUGCUCCCCCCUUAACUAGAGAUCUCGGGUUCGAGCCCUAGAUAUAGAGAAAUCCUUGGUAGGGAGCACUUCCCCCUUAAAUGGGGCCCUACGCAGCACUAAUCAAAUUAGUCAGACUCCAAUGCGAGGACAAAGGAGUCAUGUCUUUUGUAAUCCAUAGGCCAUUACUCUGCUUCAAUUGUGAAUCCAUAUCAUCAACAUAACAUGAUAUUGUUCGAUUUUUUCUUGUCGAUUCUAUUGAGUUCUGGGGAAAAUAAACUUCUGGAAGUGUUCUAUCCGGUUGGAGAAAUAUGAGUUAGGCUUAAAGAAAUGGUCUAUUUGGUUUAUAUUUCUGAUGAUCUCUUUAUUUGUCAUCAAUAAGGAUUUGUUAUAGAAGAAAAAAGUUGAAUAGUAUAUAUUGUGACCAUAAUAAUAAAAACCACAGGGAAGCUAAUUAUAUUGUGGUUGACCAUAAUAAUAAUAAUAAUCAUAAUCCAUCAUUGCAUGAUCUACAAUUGAAACUCCAACAAAAUCAAAAAUUUGAGUGAUCAAUUCAACUCAAUUGACUUUCCACACUGCCCCCUUGAUGAAGAUGAAUUCCUACAGGUUUUAGAGCUCAAGUGAUUUACCAAAGUGAUCAGACCUUGAAAGCUGCUUUUUCAAGUCUCAGUAGCUGAACGUUCUAUCGAUACAAGAAGGUUUUUUUUCUUUUGACAACUUACAUUAUCAAAAAAAUAAGUUAUAGUUCUAAUGAAGAACCUUCAUAGUACUCCAAAGUCUUACCCAUGGAAAUAGAAGAAUGCUUCAUAUGUACAUUUUUUAUGUACCUUAACUAGAAGUUUAUCUUUUUUUUUGUGAUGUAAAAGGAAGUCUCCAUAGUUUACUUUAAUAUAACCAAUUGUAAAUAGGAAAAGUCCUCCUAUUAUGGUAUUAAUUUUCCUAUUAAUUCACCCCACUAGUUCUUUUGUUGACUAAUUAAACUAUCUUUAGCAAGAUAGUUGACUAGUGUUACCACCAUUAGGAUCGGAGGUUAGGUUUAUGUCUCUUGCUUUGUACUUUUCGUUAAUUAAAGAUAUUAACAUGUUAAUUAGGAGCCAAUGCUAAACCUUCCACUACCAUGGAAGAUAAAAGCCUGGUUCGAUAAUUUUAACAUACAAAAUAUUUUCUUUUCUACAAUGUAAAUAUAUAUGUAAUACAUGAUAUACCAACACAUAGUUGAUAGUCGCAAUGGAAGUAUAUUAGAGGCUUGGAAGUUGUUUUCUGAGAUGAGGGGUUGUGGAUAUGUGCCGACUCAGUUUAGUUUUGGUGGGGUUUUGGGUUGUGAGUGUUUGGAUGUUAUUCAAGGAUUUCAGUUGCAAGCGUUGGCUGAAAAAUUGGGGCUGUUUUUCGUUGAUGCUGUAACAGGGACUGCAUUAUUGGGUUUACUUGGAAGGAAAGGAUGGUUAGAUGAAGCUAUGCAGGUUUUCGACGAAAUGCCUAAAAGGAAUUUGGUGACUUUGAAUUGUAUGAUAUCCUUGUUUGGACAGUAUGAAUGUGUUGAGGAGUCAAUGAUGGUGUUAAGGAGGUUAUUAAGGAGUGGAAUGGCUCCUUCCGAGAGCACUUUCGUGGGCAUAUUGGUCGGUUUUGUUGGGGAACUUGAUUUGAUAUUAGGGGAACUAGUACAUGGGUAGGUAGUGAAAAAUGGACUGGAUUUUUCUGUUUCAGUGAAUAAUUCAUUGAUUAACAUGUAUGCGAAAUGCUCUGACAUACAUAUGGCGGAGAAAAUGUUUGAAGAUGUUCCUGUUAAGGAUGUUGUGUCGUGGAAUACAAUGGUUGGUGCAAUGGCGAAGAUUGAAAGAGCGGAUAGGGCAUUGGUUGUUUUAAGGAAAAUGUGUGUAAGUGGCGUAUUGCUUAAUGAUACGAGUUAUGUGAGUGCCCUAAGUUGCUGCACUAGCCAGCAGUUUCGAUUGCUUGGGGAGUCCAUCCAUGCGAAAGUAAUCCAGAAAAAGUUUGAAUCUGAUGUAUAUGUCGGUAGUGCUUUACUUGACUUUUAUGUUAAAUGUGAUAGAUUGGAUGAUGCUCAUGUUUGCUUUGAUGAAAUAUCGGAGAAGAAUGUGGUUUCUUGGAAUACGUUGAUGUUGGGUUAUUCGAGUAAAGGUUCUUCUUAUGUUAUUACGCUGCUUCAACAAAUGAUUCACUCGGGUUGUCUUCCCACUGAGUUUUCUUUUUCUAUUGCUGUGAAAUCGUCAGGACUAUUAGAGGUACUUCAGCUCCAUUCUUUGUCCAUAAAAAUGGGUUACAUUGAUAAUGAUUAUGUCUCUAGCAGUUUCAUUUCUUCGUAUGCAAAAUCUAGUUCAGUUGAUGAUGCCCUAAGGUUUGUCACUACCAAUGACAUGCCACUUCCUGUUGUUGCAUCCAAUAUGAUCGCAAAUAUUUAUAACAGAAAUGGACAAUUCGAUAAGACUCAAGAGUUGUUUUCGGACCUUGAAAAUCCAGAUACUGUAUCUUGGAAUAUCUUGAUUGCAGCCUGUUCUAGAAAUGGUGAUUACGAAGAAGUUUUUGAACUUCUUGGACACAUGCGGAUGGCUAGAGUAUCUCCUGAUAGAUACACAUAUGUUAGCCUGUUUAGUGUGUGCACCAAGCUUUGUAACCUUGGUCUAGGUAGCUCACUUCAUGGCCUCAUUAUAAAGACUGAUUUUAAGCGUUGUGACACAUUUGUCUGCAAUAUCAUGAUUGACAUGUAUGGCAAAUGCGGGAGUCUUGCAAGUUCAAUCAAGAUUUUCAAUGAAAUGACGACUAAAAAUGUGAUCACAUGGACAACCAUUGUUUCAGCCCUUGGACUGCACGGUUAUGCACACGAGGCAUUAGAGAAAUUCAAGGAGAUGGAUAUGAACGGAAUUAAACCUGAUAAGGUUGUUUUCGUAGCUGUGCUUUCAGCAUGUAGGCACGUUGGAUUAGUGAAAGAGGGAAUGAAAUUGUUUGGGCAGAUGAAAGGGAAAUAUGGGGUAGAACCAGAGAUGGAUCACUAUCUUAUUGCAGUGGACUUGUUGGCUAGGUAUGGCUAUUUGACAGAAGCCGAGCAGUUAAUCACUGGGAUGCCUUUCCCUCCAAAUGCUCUAAUAUGGCGCAUUUUUUUGGAAGGCUGCAAGAAAAAGAGAAGCAUAGACGACACUAUCGCUCUUGCUUCAUAAAAUAUGUGUGAUGCAGAGGACUACUAUUGAAAGUAAUGAUCAUGUUGCUAUUAAUAGUAUAUACAGCCGUUUCAAAAGCAUUUGUCCAAAAAUGGGAAGGAACAUUGGCAUGAUGUAAUAAUGCUUUACCAGUUUCGACAAUAUGCCUAUGUUUACGUUCUACGCAACCAUUUUGUUCAGGAGUGUAAGGACAAGAAACUCGUUGUGUAAUACCAUUAUCACGUAAAUAGUUGGUUAAGGCUUGAAACUCCCCUCCCCAGUCCGCUUGAAAACAUUUAAUUGGGCGACCAAAUUUUUUUUCAACAAGAGUGCGAAACUGAAUAAAAACAGAAGUAACUUCAGAUUUAAAGCGAAGAAAAUAGAUCCAAGUGUAUUUUCUAAAAUGAUAAAAAAAGAUCACAUAAUAGCGAUAACCAUCAUUAGAAACAACCGGGGCAGGUCCCCAAACAUCUAAACAAAUUAAAUAAAGUGGUCCAGAAGCCUGAAAAACUAGAUUCACAAAAGAAAUCUUAUGACUUUUGCUAACAGCACAAGUAGUGCAUAAACUAGGAGAUUUGCUAGACUGAAAAACAGUAGAUGGUAAUGCUUGACGAACGGUAGGAUAAGAUGCAUGAGCCAGACGAGCAUGCCAAACACCACGAGAAGCUGCAAAGGAAGCUGGAGAGGAUAGUUUUGUCACAGGAAGCGAGUAUAGUCCUCUAUUAGUCCAUCCUUGUGAAGUGGUACCCUCGUUGCCAAAUCCUUAAUCAAAAAAUGGUCAGAAAAGAAUUCAACAGACACAUUGUUAGAUUUAGUAAAGGAACUAAUGGAAACUAAAUUUUGAGUAGCAGUAGGAACAUGAAGAAUAUCGUCAAGUUUGAAGUUUUUGUCGGAAGCGACAAUAGAACUUGCACUUAUAUGAGAUAUUGGUAAUUUAGAGUCAUUACCUAGAGUUACUUCCUCAGAACCUUGAUAUUCAGAGUGAAUGCCAAGGUUAUCCAGAUCAGAUGUCAGAUGAUGCAUGGUGCCACUAUCCAUAAACCAAUUUUGGGUAGGUGAAUGUUGGGUAUUUGCUAGGUUGGAGACAGGUCGUCCAGAAACCCGAGUGCCAUUAGAUGUCUUGGGUGAUGGGCAAACUCGUGCGACAUGGCCUUUACCUUCACAAUUAUGACAAAUAAUUGUUGACAUAUUGAAGGUUGGAGAUGGGAUGUUAGAGGAUUGAGUGGUAUUCUGGAAAUCACGUUGUUGGGGUAUCUGAGAAAAACCAUGAUUUUGGAAACGUCCACGACCCCUGGUACCUCUACCUCUACCACGACCACGACCAAGAGGAUAGGAACUCUGAGUAUAGAGUGUCGUCGGCGCUAUGACAUUAAGAGUCUCAUCUCUCUUUAAUUGUCGUUCUUCAUUCAACAAUAGUCCAUAUAAAGCAUCAAACGAGAUAUCCUCUUGACGCGAUUCAAGUGAUCUUGUAAAUGGUCGAUAGGCUGGUCCCAGUCCAGCAAGAAUAAAUUCGACCAAAUCAUCAUUAGUAACUGGAUGCUGCAAUGCAGCCAACUUGUCCGCAAUUCCUUUUGCCCUUUGCACAUAAGACUCAAUACUAGUAUUGUCUCGCUGCAACGUGUGUAAUUGUGUUUUCAGCUCACGAAUUUGAGGCUUCGAACCUGAAGCAUAGGCAGCAACCAGUUUGUUCCAAGCUGUUUGGGCUGUCUGAGCACCAACUAGUUGGGGUAAUAUUCCUUCAGAUACGGAAGCAACGGUCUAACUUAACACAAGUUGAUCUGCUUAUACCCAAACAUGGUAGUUUGGGUUAGGUUGAUCAUCAGACAAAAACUGCCCUGGAAUUACCUGACUACCAUCAAUAUGAUGACCAAGUCCACAACCGCGAACCAUCGGAAGGAACUGUGUCUUCCACAACAAAAAUUUGAUGAUGUAAGUUUAAGCGGUAACUGAUGAGCAAGGCUAGGAGAUGGUAGAGUGGUGACCGUGGAGGUCUGUGUUCUCACGGUUGUUCCCUGCAAAGAGGAACUUGAUGAGAUGUUGUCGUCCACCAUUGAAGCUGCUACAAAGCUUCUGUUUCUAUGGCGAGGGUUUAAAUUUGGGUUGUUUUAACCUCUUAGGGCCCUGAUACCAUGAAAGACUUUCUCAUUAUAUUAUAUUGUAAAUACACGCUAUAUUUAUACAUAUAGAUCAGGUAAGAGUCCUAGUCUAAGUCAUGUAAUGAAAAUAACAAUCCUAUGCAAACUAAGCCACAAGUAAAUAAAUCAAUCCAAUUCAUAUUAGACAAGUAAGUUAUCCUUCGUCAUAUAUGUGUCAAUACUCUUCCACUACUUGCCCAGUAGUAUAUGUAUUGCUGAAACAUCAUGUAAUAAGCUUCAAAAAUCUUUGGCUUACAUGCUAACUAAGUUUUAUCCUCUGGCUGGAAAAUUUAGAGAAAAUGAUCAUCAACUCUCAAUUCACUGCAAUGACCAGGGCGUUGAGUAUGUUGAAAUCAAAGUCAACGCAUCUUACUGAAUUCUCCAUCAAGGACUCAAAAAUGAGCCUUUGGUUGAUCUUUUUCGUAAAAUGGAUCAUCGGCCAUCAAGUCCAUUACUUGGUGUUCAAGUGAACGUAUUCAAUUGUGGUGGACUAGUCAUACAAAUUACACACAUUGUAGCUGAUGCUUUCACUUUAGCAACAUUUGUUAAUGAAUGGGCGUGCACUAGCCUUACAGGGACCACAAAAGAUUGUCUCCCAAUUAGUUUCGAUCACUCUUCCCCACAUGCAAGAGUGCUAUUAGUACCUCAAUAUUCAGUACCACCACAUUCUAACAGUACUACUCGCCCUAAGAUUGUCACAAGGAGGUUUGUCUUUGAUGCUUUGGCAAUAGCAAACCUCAAAAAUACAAUCGAAGAUUCAACUGCCAGUAGUAGCAGUAGCAGUAGCAGGCGGCCUACUAGAUUGGUGGUAGUUAUAUAUGUCCCUAUUAUGGAAGGUUCUUGCAGGCAUUUCUUCCGCCAAAGAUGGACAUUCAAGGGACUCUAAUUUAUUAUUUUCUAUUAAUUUGAGAGGAAAAUCAAAGGUACCAUCCUUAGAACAUGGUCUAGGGAAUUGUACCUGAUCUAGAGGCAAGUGAUCACUCAAGAAAGGAUGAGUUGAAUGAUUUUGUAAAGUCUGUAGGAAAUAUAAUAUGGGACACUUGUGUAGGCAUUGGUAAGGCGGCAAGCGUUGAUGAUGUUUCCUCUUUAGUUGUUAACAAUCACACAAAAGGUGUAGACAAAUAUCUCCAACGAGACAAGAUGGACAUUUAUCCGAUUACUAGUUAGUGUGGAUGAAGCUGACUUUGGAUGGGGAAAGCCAUUCUGGGUGACCUCCGUUAGCAUUCAUGAUGAUUUUGAAGCAAUUGUUAUGAUGGACACAAAAGAUGGUAAUUAAUGGAAUACAAGCAUGGAUUGGUUUGACAUGCAUGACUCAAUUCGAGAGAGACCCUCACAUUUUGUCAUCUACUUAAUUCCAAAGUAGCAUUUCAUUCCUUGAUUAAUUGAAUAAAAUGAAACUACAUUAUUAGAUGAUAUAUGUAACAUUUCUUGUUUUUUUUCAUGAUAUAAAAUAAAGUGUAGUUACGUACGUUCUUUUUAUAAUAAACUUGAGAAUAUUUCCCCGUUUCGCACAGUUAUGUUAACUUUUUUUCUUCAAACAAUAAAACUCUUAUUUGCUUAUAAAAUUUUGUAUUACUUGGCUCUAAUCCGGCAUCGGGCACACCUAUGGUAUAUUAUUCCAACAAGCUAAGUAAGAGAAUAUAAUCCUUCUACAAAUAUACUAUAUUACUACGUAUAUUCCUACAUAUUUUGUACCCCGAAUGCCUCCAUCAAAGGAUAGGUGUGUUCACGGCUCGGUUUGAGUUAUUGAUAAAAAUAAAAAUUAUAUCAAUCUAGUUAGUUUUUAAGUUAUGACAACUAAAUCAAAUUAAAUAGAAUAUAUAUUUAUCAAUUUAGUUAUUAUUGGUUUCAAUUAUUGAUUGUUUUCUUAUUAAUCAUUCACAAAAAUAAAAUCAAAAGACAAGGUGGAGAUAUAGAAAAACAUAUAUACAUGUUCGUAAUACUUUUUGUUUUGGCCUUUUUUGCUUUCGUAAAUAAAUUUUGAUUAUAGAAAAUAUCCAUAAAAAAUAGUAUAUUAUACAUAUAUAAUUAUUUUAAAUAAAUGUAUACAAUUUGUUGGUUCGUUGGGUUAUUUCUUCAGUUUUUGAACAAAUCCCAACUAAAUAUUACUAUUCCCUUCGUCCCAAAUUAUAUGACACCUUUUUGGAUUUCGAGAUUCAAACAAGUUUAUCUUUGACCGUAAUUUUUCAUAAAUAUAUUAAAUUGACAAUUCUUGUGGCUUAAACUACUCUUUACUUAGUUUCCGAAUAUAUAAAUUUUAUUUCAAAAAAUUUAAAGAUUUCAUGCCCGACUUUAUAGUUAAAAUUAGACUAUUUAACUUUCCGGAAGUGAAAAUCGCCACAUAAAUUAGGACGGAGGGAGUAUUGUUUUUUUUAAACUGUAAAACUAAAUUCGAAUAAAAUCGAUUUUUACCCAAAUCGUGAACACCCCUAAACAUGACAAAGUAAAUACUAUACAAAUGUUUUUAGUUAGUCUUUGAAAUGCAGCUAGUAAGUAUGACUAAGCACAAAUUCCAAAUAAGAAGUGAGAAAAGUGUGAAUUGGUUGUUGCCAUGGCAGAAUUUUAAAUUACUUUUAACAUAGUUUUUCAGGUAACAAACAUUUAAACAAGUAGCUCUAGUCCAAAAUUAUUGUAUAUAUUCUGGAGAUACAGAACGCCAUUCCCACACUAACAAGCAUGCAAAGUCAAUAUGUGAUAACUAAAGCCCCUAAAUCAUGGAUCCAGUUUAUGACUCAUGAAUCAUGACAAUAAACUAACGCAAAUUUAUGAACCAUGAUUUUGUCAUGACGAUAAAUAAUGCAAAUUUAUGCACAACGAUUUCGUGCUGGCAAUAAACUAAUGCAAAUACGUAAAAUGUUGGCCUUUGAAGAGAAAAAAAAAAGGGUGGAUCCUGACGUCAGCACGUGAAUAAAAAUAGACAUAUGCCAUUUUAAAAUAAAAAGAGAAUAUGAAAAUAAUGAGACAUUUAAGAGUAAAUAUUUUACUUUAUAAGUGUUCUUUUCUCGUCAUUUUCAAUAAUUAUUGAUAAAUCAUGAAACAAAAGAGUUAGAAAUAGUAUUUUGUGUUUUUCUUAUGUACAAUGGAUAAAUUAAAGAUUAUUUAAUUUAGAUAUAAAGAAUUAUAUUAAUUAGAAGCAGAACAUGAAGAGUGUGAUUGUGCAUAAUCAAAAGAGACUAUUGUGUCAGAUUUUUAGAGUUAAAAGAAUACAAUCGUAUUUGAUACGAUGAAGAAAGUGUAACACGUGAUAAUUGAAGCCCCUAAAUUGUUUAAUCCAAUUUUCAUGCCAUGUUUAUUUAUUUAUUAAAUAAAAAAUCAAGGCUUAAAAAGUUGCAUAAACAAUACUAACAUGUUGGGCAGUCUGUAGAGUUGAAACUAUAUAAUGGCAGGCAUAUGUAUAUAUAGUAGCAAAAAAAAGGGAGAACCAAAAGUAAUACUCAAAUUAUUUUCUCUUUUGUUUAUUAAGUAAUCCACCAAAUAAAAUCGUAAUGGCCAGGUUUGAUAUUGAAAUUCAGACAAGGAAAAUGUUGAAACCCUCAGUUUCUACCUCGGAUAAUCUUCGUAUAUUGAAGCUGAGAAAUUGUGAAACACAAGCAGUAUAGUAUAAGCUCUAAGUUGAGCAACAAUGGAAGUAACAAUGGAAGCUUCUAGUGAACGGAAGAACAGGGGAGAGAAUUGAUAUGUGGAAAAUGAAGCUUAGCCAUUCUAUUGAUCAAUGUAGUAUUUAUAUACAUCAGAAAUAAAAGUGGAAAGCAUCUAAUCUAACUGCACAGUGGAAUAACUAACUCUGACAGACUAACUACCUAACUAAUUGUGUAACUAAUUAUUCACAUUACAAUAUAAUAUUUAAUACCCCCCUCAAGUUGGAGGUGGAGACAACACUGCCAACUUGUCAAGGAUGGAGGAGUGUUUAAUUCCUGUCAAAGCUUUAGUCAGUAUAUCAGCCAACUGAUCAUGUGUAGCAAUGUGAUGUAAAGAAAUGAGUCCUUGCUGUAGAACAUCCCUCACAUAAUGACAGUCGACUUCGAUGUGUUUGGUUCGUUCAUGAAAAACAAGAUUUCGUGCUAUAUGUAUUGCGGAUUGAAUGUCACAGAAGACAGAAAUAGGUUUGGAAAAAGGGACAGCUAACUCAGCAAGUAACCUACUCAGCCAUACCAGUUCCCCGACCAACUUCCUGAGGGAUCUAUAUUCAGCCUCUGCAGAUGACAAUGAAAUAGUUUCUUGUUUCUUGGAUUUCCAGCUUAGUGGACUACCUCCAAUCAAUACUAGGAACCCACUAACAGACUUCCUAGAGUCUGGGCAGGAUGCCCAAUCUGAAUCACAGUAUCCUCUGAUAGUGAAGUCGGCAUCCUUAGAUAAAAACAAACCCAGUGUAGGGUCAUUCUUAAGAGGUGAAAAGCAGCCUGUAAAUGUGGUUCCCUGGGAUCUUGCAUGAACUGGCUUAGAUGUUGUACACUGAAAGCAAUGUCCAGCCUGGUGUUAGUGAGGAAAUUAAGCUUCCCAACAAGUUUUCUAUAAUAAGUAGCAUCAUUCAGAACUGGUCCUUCUUUGGCUCCCAAAGAACUUAAGUGCAAGCAGUCAUAUUCCCUCAACAUGUCCAAAACAAACUUUCUCUGUGAAAUAAUGACUCCAUGUGGUAUGUGAAGAACUUCCAUUCCUAGGAAAUAGUGUAACAACCCUAAAUCCUUAAUCUUGAAUCUGUUAUGUAGGUAGAUUUUCAAGUCUGCUAUUUCAGCAGCAUCAGUACCUGUAAGAACUAUAUCAUCUACAUAGACUGCGACAUAAACUGUUGAACUCUCUUUUCUUUUAUAGAAGAGAGAAUAAUCAUGCAUUGAGUGAGUAUAUCCUCUAGAAUAUAAAGCUUCUGUAAGCUUAGCAUACUAUUGCCUACUAGCUUGUUUGAGCCCAUAAAGGGACUUCUUCGAUUUACACACCAAGGUAGGAUCUGGAGUUACAAGUCCAGGUGGUAUGUCCAUAUAGACUUCUUCAUUCAAAUCUCCAUGAAGAAAUGCAUUGUUUAUGUCUAAUUGAUACAUGGUCCACCCCUGUUUAGCUGCUGUAAUCAACAAAGCUCUAACUGUGGUCAUUUUCACCACAGGAGAGAAAGUUUCAGUAUAGUCAAUGCCUGCUUGUUGUGUGUAACCUUUGACAACAAGUCUGGCCUUUAGUCUUUCAAUACUACCAUCUGCAUUGUGUUUAAUCUUGUAGACCCAUUUACAGCCUAUGACAUUCUUUCCAUUAGGAAGUGGAACCAAAUCCCAAGUACUAUUAGAGUGCAAAGCAUCAAAUUCUUGUGUCAUGGCAAUCUGCCAUGCAGGAUCAACAACAGCCUCCUCAUAUGAAAUUGGUUCCCUGUCAAGGCAAACAUUUCUUACAAAAUCUUGACUAUUAGGAAUUAGAGCACUGUGAGCCAUGUGUUGGUGAUUGGAGAAAAGAGCAUUAAUAGUUGUAGUGUUGGUGGGGGAUGGCUUUAGUUGUGGCAUGGUACAAAUGUAAUCAGUCAUAUAUUGUGGAGGCUUGUGACACCUAGUGGAUCUUCUAGGUGCUUGGUGGGGGACAACAGUGGAUGGAUGAACUGGUAAUGAAGGUGAGGUUAAUGGAACUGGAACUAUAAGAUCAGGUGAGCUAUUGAAAGAAACAUUAGAACUGUCAGAUGCAGUCUGAGUAUCUUGUGUGCCAUGCUUAUCAGAAUUGUCCAAAACAUCAAUAAAACAAGGAAAUUGUAAACAAGAAAUUGGUGGAGUAGGGGUAGAGGGAUUAUGAAAAGGAAAAAUAUUCUCAUGAAAAAUGACAUCUCUAGAAACAUGUAUUCUUUUUGUGGACAUAUUUAGAACUUUGUACCCUUUUGUCUCAUAGGGAUAUCCAACAAAGAUGUGUGGGUUAGUUCUUGGUUCAAAUUUAGCUCUGUGAGGUAUAGGAACUGUAGGAUAACAAAGGCAACCAAAGCUUCUCAUGUGAGAAUAAGAAGGUUUCUUUUUGUAGAGGAUUUCAUAUGGACAUGCAUUGUUUAAUACAACAGAGGGAAGCCUGUUGAUAAUGUAUGUUGCACAUAGAAGACAUUCUCCCCAGUAUUGAACAGGAAGUUUAGAUUGGAAAAGUAGUGCUCUAGCAGUUUCAAGUAAGUGUUUGUGUUUUCUUUCUACCACACCAUUUUGUUGUGGUGUGUAAGGGCAAGUUUUCUGGUGGAGGAUUCCUUUUGUCUAAAAAAACAUUGUUGUUUCAGCAUUUACAAAUUCCAGACCAUUGUCUGUUCUGAUUGCUUUAACAGUGGUUUGAAAUUGGGUUUCUAUUAUGGUAAUGAAAGCUUUUAAGGUUUGGAAUGCAUUGCUUUUAGAGCUGAUUAACUGAGUCCAUGUGGACCUGCUAAAAUCAUCUACAAUGGUGAUGAAAUAUUUGAAAUGAUUGUAUGUGGCUGUGUGAUAUGGUCCCCACAAAUCAACAUGAAGUAGUUCAAAAAUAUGUGAGGUGAAUGUGGUUCUGGGUUGGAAUGGUAAUCUUUCUUGUCUUGCCAUGGGACAAAUGGAACACAUAAAAGGUUGUUUAGAGCAGAAUUUGACAGGAAUACUAGAAAUACCUUUCAUUUUGACAAAAGGAACAUGUCCUAAUCUAUUAUGCCACAUAAUGUCCACAUUGUUUCUAUUACAUGUAUGAGAAUUAAAACCACAAGAAUGGAAAGGGACAUCAACUGAAGAAUGUUUAACAGCUAAACAAGGUUCUCUUUUAUUGACAGAACUAGUACAUUGUUUAUGGGAAGAAACACUACAAACAUUACAAGUACUAGAUGAAAGUGAACUAUAUGUAGGAGAAAUAGAAGAUUUCUGCAGGCAAUUUGGACAUAAGAAGUAGAGACCAUCAUCAGCAUUACCAAGCACCAGAGGCCUCUUCAUUGAAGGGACCUGUAUGAAACAUAAGGUUUUGUCAAAACUGAUGGUACAAUUUUAAUGCGUAGUUAGGGUGUGAAUGGAGAUCAAAUUAUACUUGAAAGAUGGCACAAACAAGACCUUUUGUAGACUGAUCAUAGGUCCUAAUGUUACAUUCCCAAUCUGAGUCACUUUAACCUUAUAGCCAUUAGGUAGCGCAAUCAACAUUAGGUAGGGCAGUAAGGUAAUAUUAUGCAAGAGGGAUCUAUUAAAAGUCAUGUGAUGUGAAGCUCCAGAGUCUAAAAUCCAUAAGUCAGAUCUAUUUACGAAACAUUUGCAUGACAGUUUAUCAAAAACAAUAGAAGAAGUGCAUACUGUGAUACCUGCAAAAUCAGAUUGUCCAUUUGCAAGAGCUGAGUUUGUAGUGGAUCCUUCAUUCUUAUUCUCUGUAUGAAAUUGCUGAAGCAUACUUUGAACAUGACCAUAUUGGUCUUUGGUGAGACUCAUAUUGUAUAGUUCCUCAUGUUGAUCCACUAAUGGUCCAUUUCCAGGAGCUGAAUCAUGUGUACAAUGAGCAUUUGCUACUGGCCUAUUUCCAGACCCCUAGGAUAUCUGUGUGUAUUAGUGUUCUGAGAAGGCUUGGGGGGUCGAAAAUUGUUAUAGGGAUAAGUUUUCUGAUUUGGAUUGUCAUUGUUUGAAGUAGGACCGGAAGAAGAACCAGUUGGAUACCCUUGGAGUUGAUAGCAUUUCUCCAUGAGGUGUCCAGUCCUCCUGCAAUAGUUGCAGAAUCUGUCUUUGUAUGGAAUUUGAGAACCAUUUCGUGGGUGAUUGGAUGAGAAAUUUGUUUUGUAAGGAUGAGAUGGCUUACCAGAUCCAACAUGUAAAGCAGUCGAAUCCACAUUGAAGUGAUUUGAAGGUUUGAUUUCCCUCUGUUGUUCAUCCUGAACUAACAACGAGAAAGCCUGUGCCAUAUUAGGAAGUGGGUUCAACAUGAGUAUGCUACCACGAAUUACAGUAUAGAUCUCAUUUAAGCCCAUGAGAAAUUGAAUCAAACGCCUAUCUUGCUCAGCCUUAUGAGCAAGAGCCUUAGCUCCACAGUUACAGGCACAAUUGCAAUGAGCGGUGACAUUCAAAGUACUGAGUUCCUCCCAGAGCUUCUUCAACUUGGUGUAAUACCCUGUGAUGUCAAGAGAUCCUUGAGACAGAUCAUUAAUUUCCCUCUGAAUUUGGUACAGCUUUGCACUAUUCGGUUGUUCAUAACGAUCUUCUAGCUCCCUCCAGAGUUCAGCAGAACUCAUAACAAAUUCAACGCUAUCAGCAAUAUCCUUCGACAGCGAAUUUAGAAUCCAAGAUGUAACAAUGUCGUCACAUCGUUCCCAUUGUCGAUACGAAGGAUGAUCAGAUUGGGGUCGUUGACAAUCUCCAUUAAUGAAUCCUAACUUGUUUUUAACAGAUAAUGAUCGCAAUACACUACGUCUCCAUGAUCGAUACCCAAUUCCUGUGAACUGCACAGGUACAAGCAUAGCUCUUCACAGGUACAAGCAUAGCUCCAGGAUUAUCAGAGGGAUGCAUGUAGAGAGGACUAUUGGAGUCAAUCGAGAAACUAGUGGAACCUCCAGCAGAACCACUAGGCAGAUCGGAAUUAUCAGCUAUAGAUCCAAGUAGAAACAGAGAAACAGAGAAUUUCGCAGCAAACAAAACGAACAAUCGAAACAGAAGGUGAAAUCUCAGAGUCGAUAAGGCUCUGAUACCAUGAGAAAUUGUGAAACACAAGCAGUAUAAGCUCUAAGUUGAGCAACAAUGGAAGCUUCUAGUGAACGGAAGAACAGGGGAGAUAAUUGAUAUGUGGAAAAUGAAGCUUAGCCAUUCUAUUGAUCAAUGUAGUAUUUAUAUACAUCAGAAAUAAAAGUGGAAAGCAUCCAAUCUAACUGCACAGUGGAAUAACUAACUCUGACAGACUAACUACCUAACUAAUUGUGUAACUAAUUAUUCACAUCUAUAUAUAUAUAUAAAGGAGGAUAUGAAAACGCUGAUGUNNNNNNNNNNNNNNNNNNNNNNNNNNNNNNNNNNNNNNNNNNNNNNNNNNNNNNNNNNNNNNNNNNNNNNNNNNNNNNNNNNNNNNNNNNNNNNNNNNNNUACCCAUUUAAAAUAUGAGUUGAGUAGAGUAUUUUACUCAUUUUUAUUUAAUUCGUUUUCGAUCGAUUCAUAUUCGAUUUGACCCACUCAUUUGCCACUCCUAGCUGACACUAAAACCAUUCCGGGUCUUAUGUAAUUUCUAGAGGUGCAUCUAUAAUUCAAACGUGUGGAAUUUUUUGAAGUAAGAAUUGAAGUAGCUGCACAUACUUUAAUAUAAAAUUUGUUUUGUUUGAACAGGAAAGCAUAUGUACAAUAGUUUAAAUUCGAGCAUAUAAUCUUUUAAAUACCAAUUAUGCUAAAAUGUACUAAUAACUUAAUCACCUGGAAUAACCAGAUAUAUAUAUAUAUAUAUAUAUUAUAUAUAUAUUAUUACCUUUUUUAUUUAUAAGUGAACAAGAAAAGGACUAUCACAGCAUCAAGCAAUUAUACCAAAAGUAAAGUAAGUUGUACUACAAAUUUUGGGUCCAUUUUGUUCCUUCAUAUUCUUUUUCAACCACGUGUAUGGAUUUUAUUUCAGCAUCUUCCUUUUCCUUUUGACACGUAUUACAUCUUUGUUUUUGUGAAAGACAUUUGGUUUCCACUCAAAACAAAAUUUCAUCUUUUCGAACUUUAUAUUUGUCAGGAGACAUGGAAUUGUGAAAUAGCUAUUCGAAAUUACUGCAGGUGAGUGUUUCGACAAUUCUUGCUCAAAUUUUAUUCUAAAAUUUCUGAAAGUUGGACGCACCAAAUUUAUGUUGUAAGUCACUGUAACCCGCAUUGAGUGCUAGACCUAGCAUUGUAGGGGAAAUAGUUGCUUCUAAACUCUUAAAUCCCCAUUUUGUUGUGUAUUAAGGUUGAGGUCUCAUGUUGGAGCAGAGAUUGCACUGUUGAGUUUUCUUGCUUGAAAUUAUUUUGACUUAUUUUCCUAUCAUGGACUAAGUAACUUUCAAGCUACAUAUCGGAAAGUAUUCGAACUAAUAAUAAUAAUUAUUGUUCAACAAAUAUUCAAUGGAACUUUGAGUGCACUGCCAUUCUGUAUUGCAGCUAAUGAAAAUGAAUAGGAAAUUUGUGAUAUUUAUAUGUAGUUAGCUUUUUGUGAAGAGGCAUAUCAGAAAUAGUCUAAUGAGAAAGCAUAUGUUUACAUUCGUAGUUGCAAACGAGAUCGACUUGGUAUAUUUUAAAGCACACACAUGUAACGUUCAUAUUCUUAAAACGAUAAGUUAUAUUCUUGGUAAAUUUUGGACUUCCUUUUUUAAAAAAAAUUCUAAUUAUUUUUGCUUUGAAAGUUAUGUUCUUUAGUCUGUUUUGUGAUUAAUGCUGAAUUUUGGAGCUCAAUUGUUCCGGGAAAGCUUGUGUGAGUGAGAGUUGGUAGUUGAUUCUUCUUUUUAAUGCUAUUGAUUGAUCGUGACAGAGCCAAGAUUUCCAAUAAGUGCUUCAAAACAUGAAGAAGGUGUGUUCAACAUCUACUAUAUAUGUAUAACUUUUUUUUACCAUGUAUGAAGUAUAAAUUUCCGUUGUAUGUAGUUUGGAUGAAUCCCUCGACCCUACCUGGCUUUGCCACCGUUGUCGACAAUCAGUAAGUAUAACAUCAAAUACUCUUAUUUUCCUUUUGAAGAUGUACAUAUAUCAUUACAGAAAUGAUCUCCAUGGAAGCAGAAGACAUAUUCGACACAACUUGCAUUAAAGGGUUACCCAAAUUUAUUAACACAUAUUAGUAUAUAUUUUAUAAAUAAUUUUAAUUUUCUAUUUCCAUCAAAGUUGUGCGACGAAAAUCAUUUUUAUAAUGCAAUACACCAUCUAUAUAAAAGAAAUUGUGAGAUAUUUUGAAUGUUGUAACUCAUUCUGUUUGCAGAACCAACUCAUGCACAUUAACCAUGUCCAAGACAUAUUCUCGUUGUUUGAGUUCAGUUAAGGAAAUCGUCCUGGAGAAGGUCUAAUGUCACACACAAAACUCUAUUUUCCCUGUCCUAAUAGAGAAAGAAGACAACUUUCCAAUCUAUGUUAAUGAGAAAACACCAGAAGGUCAAACCUUCGAGCACAACUGAGGUAGAGUCUAGAGAUGAAAGUAAUAGGUGUUGUAUCUGGAACUUCAAGCGUAAACCAGAAAAUUGAACCAGUCACGCCAUCGAAAAAGCUGUAAAAGGUUGGUCUACUUAUGUACCUAUAACUAAACUCCUUGGAAAAAAUCUAAUACAAUUAGAAGAAUUCUGGUCUCUCUUUUUUUACAAAUGGUUGAUUUGUCCAGAUUUCAAUGUUGUAGCUUAUUUGUUGAAUAUGACAUACGUUAAAUGAUUAGGCUUGAGAUUAAAGUUUGGGAAAAUGCAUAAGUAUCCCCCAGCCUAUGCCCAAAAUCCCUGAGACACACCUAACCUUUACUAAGGUCCUAUUACCCUCCGAACUUAUUUUUUAAUUAAUUUUCUACCCCUUUUCUGCCUACGUGGCACUAUUCUUGAAAAAAUUGUUAACACGCGUUGGGCCCACAAGAUAGUGCCACGUAGACCGAAAAGGGGUAGAAAAUUAUAUAUAAAAUAAGUUCGGGGGUAAUAGAACCUUAGUAAAGGUUAGGUGUGUCUCAGGGAUUUUGGGCAUAGGCUGGGGGAUACUUAUGCAUUUUCCCAAACUUUAAUCUCAAGCCUAAUCAUUUAACCUAUGUCAUAAUUCAACAAAUAAGCUACAACAUUGAAAUCUGGACAAAUCAACCAUUUGUAAAAAAAGAGAGACCAGAAUUCUUCUAAUUGUAUUAGAUUUUUUCCAAGGAGUUUAGUUAUAGGUACAUAAGUAGACCAACCUUUUACAGCUUUUUCGAUGGCGUGACUGGUUCAAUUUUCUGGUUUACGCUUGAAGUUCCAGAUACAACACCUAUUACUUUCAUCUCUAGACUCUACCUCAGUUGUGCUCGAAGGUUUGACCUUCUGGUGUUUUCUCAUUAACAUAGAAUGGAAAGUUGUCUUCUUUCUCUAUUAGGACAGGGAAAAUAGAGUUUUGUGUCUGACAUUAGAGCUUCUCCAGGACGAUUUCCUUAACUGAACUCAAACAACGAGAAUGUGUGUCUUGGACAUGGUUAAUGUGCAUGAGUUGGUUCUGCAAACAGAAUGAGUUACAACAUUCAAAAUAUCUCACAAUUUUUUUUAUAUAGAUGGUGUAUUGCAUUAUAAAAAUGAUUUUCGUCGCACAACUUUGAUGGAAAUAGAAAAUUAAAAUUAUUUAUAAAAUAUACUAAUAUGUGUUAAUAAUUGGUAACCUUAAUGCAAGUUGUGUCGAAUAUGUCUUCUGCUUCCAUGGAGAUCAUUUCUGUAAUGAUAUAUGUACAUCUUCAAAAGGAAAAUAAGAGUAUUUGAUGUUAUACUUACUGAUUGUCGACAACGGUGGCAAAGCCAGGUAGGGUCGCGGGAUUCAUCCAAACUACAUACAACGGAAAUUUAUACUUCAUACAUGGUAAAAAAANNNNNNNNNNNNNNNNNNNNNNNNNNNNNNNNNNNNNNNNNNNNNNNNNNNNNNNNNNNNNNNNNNNNNNNNNNNNNNNNNNNNNNNNNNNNNNNNNNNNNNNNNNNNNNNNNNNNNNNNNNNNNNNNNNNNNNNNNNNNNNNNNNNNNNNNNNNNNNNNNNNNNNNNNNNNNNNNNNNNNNNNNNNNNNNNNNNNNNNNNNNNNNNNNNNNNNNNNNNNNNNNNNNNNNNNNNNNNNNNNNNNNNNNNNNNNNNNNNNNNNNNNNNNNNNNNNNNNNNNNNNNNNNNNNNNNNNNNNNNNNNNNNNNNNNNNNNNNNNNNNNNNNNNNNNNNNNNNNNNNNNNNNNNNNNNNNNNNNNNNNNNNNNNNNNNNNNNNNNNNNNNNNNNNNNNNNNNNNNNNNNNNNNNNNNNNNNNNNNNNNNNNNNNNNNNNNNNNNNNNNNNNNNNNNNNNNNNNNNNNNNNNNNNNNNNNNNNNNNNNNNNNNNNNNNNNNNNNNNNNNNNNNNNNNNNNNNNNNNNNNNNNNNNNNNNNNNNNNNNNNNNNNNNNNNNNNNNNNNNNNNNNNNNNNNNNNNNNNNNNNNNNNNNNNNNNNNNNNNNNNNNNNNNNNNNNNNNNNNNNNNNNNNNNNNNNNNNNNNNNNNNNNNNNNNNNNNNNNNNNNNNNNNNNNNNNNNNNNNNNNNNNNNNNNNNNNNNNNNNNNNNNNNNNNNNNNNNNNNNNNNNNNNNNNNNNNNNNNNNNNNNNNNNNNNNNNNNNNNNNNNNNNNNNNNNNNNNNNNNNNNNNNNNNNNNNNNNNNNNNNNNNNNNNNNNNNNNNNNNNNNNNNNNNNNNNNNNNNNNNNNNNNNNNNNNNNNNNNNNNNNNNNNNNNNNNNNNNNNNNNNNNNNNNNNNNNNNNNNNNNNNNNNNNNNNNNNNNNNNNNNNNNNNNNNNNNNNNNNNNNNNNNNNNNNNNNNNNNNNNNNNNNNNNNNNNNNNNNNNNNNNNNNNNNNNNNNNNNNNNNNNNNNNNNNNNNNNNNNNNNNNNNNNNNNNNNNNNNNNNNNNNNNNNNNNNNNNNNNNNNNNNNNNNNNNNNNNNNNNNNNNNNNNNNNNNNNNNNNNNNNNNNNNNNNNNNNNNNNNNNNNNNNNNNNNNNNNNNNNNNNNNNNNNNNNNNNNNNNNNNNNNNNNNNNNNNNNNNNNNNNNNNNNNNNNNNNNNNNNNNNNNNNNNNNNNNNNNNNNNNNNNNNNNNNNNNNNNNNNNNNNNNNNNNNNNNNNNNNNNNNNNNNNNNNNNNNNNNNNNNNNNNNNNNNNNNNNNNNNNNNNNNNNNNNNNNNNNNNNNNNNNNNNNNNNNNNNNNNNNNNNNNNNNNNNNNNNNNNNNNNNNNNNNNNNNNNNNNNNNNNNNNNNNNNNNNNNNNNNNNNNNNNNNNNNNNNUAAGGUCCUAUUACCCCCCCGAACUUAUUUUAUAUGUAAUAUUCUACCCCUUUUUGGCCUAUGUGGCACUAUCUUGUGGGCCCAGCGCAUGUUGACAUUUUUUUCAAGGAUAGUGCUACGUAGGCCGAAAAGGGGUAGAAUAUUAUAGAUAAAUUAAGUUCGGGGGUGUAAUAGGACCUUAGUAAAGGUUAGGUGUGUCUCUGGGAUUUCGAGCAUAGGCUGGGGGGGUACUUAUGCAUUUUCCCAUAUUUUAACAAUAUGUACAACAUAUACAACUAUGUUGCCCAGUUAAAUACUGUACAAGCAUAGCUAUAAUAAACAUAACAUACUCAAAUCAUAACUGCUCAUAUCUUCAAGUACAUCAUAUGCAUAUCCUAAUUCAACAGCCACAGUGGUGUGCUGGAGUUACGCAUAGGGGGAUCCUGAAGUAUCUUGGAAAAACAUGGAAAUAUCAGUCAACUAAUCUAACAUUUUGAAAGAAGAAAGAAGAAUCUAGAAAAUAUAGUAGCGUAAUGACCAAGAUACUGAAACAGAAUGUUAAAACUAUUUUUCUGCCAAAUACUUGCUCGAGUAAUCAAUCUGGAAGUGUCAAUUACAUAGGAGAACGUGUAUUCAAAUCUUUGAACAGUAUAUUAAAUUGAAGGAUGCUUAUAAUUAAAAAGGUAACAUCAAGGAAGCUCUGAAAUUAAUAUAAAUCUCCCAAAUAAAUUUUUGCACUUCACCAAAGGCUGGUGAAACAGUAAUAGUGAAAUAAAUUGGUGAUAUAUAUUUCGGUCAAGCUCACAUUUAAGAUUUACCAUGAUCUUUUCCAAAGUCUGCAAAUCAAGGAGCAGCCAGAAAUAAAUGAAGAUUCAGAUGAUAUAAUCACAACUCUAAUUUUCGUGCACAAGUACAACAUUGACUCAGAUGAGAAGACAAAAAACAUUACAUGGAGUAAGUUGAAACACCAAAAGUUAAAAGUUUUCUUGCUUGGAAAAUUCUGUGACACAGUAGAAGCACAAAAGGAGUCCCGACUUGAAACAUAAAGCUCAAGCUAAAAUAUGAAACUAAAUAUAUAACAAUUACCUCACUUUCUAAGAUUUUGAACUUACUAAGAUUUCGAACUAAGUUUGGGCGGAGAGAUUGCAAACGUAGUUAUUAUAUUUCAAUGUGGAUUAAUUUCAAAAGGAAGAAACAAAUAUUAGGGGGAGAAGCUUUAGCAUUUGUCAGUCCUUGUAACUGAAACUAUUCUAAUCGCAAUUUGUAAAUCAUGCAUAACAUGUUCAUAACAACUUUAAAAGCAACUCAGCCUAUUAAAAUAUCAUCAUCAUUAGGAGGGGAGAUGGUUCAAAACAAAUUGAAUAUUACUGCUACUUAGUGCGAGAGAAGUUAUUAGCGAAAAAGUAAGAGUUACUGGGCAAUCUAAAUAAAAAAGAACUUCCUAUAUGUAUACCUGCUUGCAUCAGUUAUUAAGGUGAAAUGUAAAAUGUAAGCAGAUAUCAACAUAUACUAAAAUUAGAAAACAACAAUCUUUAGAACUUGCUAGUUUUUUUGUCAAAAAAUGUAUUGUUCGUUUAAGACUCAGGAUUGCACACAUUAAGCACCCAUUAAUUGAAUAUAGUCUUUGUAAGAAUGGUUCCUCUUUAUUUAUAAUAAAAAAAUUUGAAAAUUCCAAUCAAGCAUAUUCUCUCUUUACUCCUAAUAACACCAGAAUUUACUCAGAUUCAGCAUAAAUGAUGUUAAAAGUUAUCACAUAUGUAUGAUUUGUUGGGGAAAAAUUUUAACUCCAAAAGAAAAACAAAAUGAAGUAAAGAUCAAACAUGUUACAACCAAACAAAGACACCGUUGCGACCGAGAAAAGUACAUACAACCUUAACACAAUCUCUAUUGUAGUAAAAGAGUAUAUAAAGCAACACUAACCUGUUAAUCUGAAACACUGAAGCACAAUCUAGAAAUUGCACAAAAAGAAAACAAAAGGACAUAAAACCUUCAAGGAGAAGAGCUGCAGAAGCUGAAACAUCAAAGAAGAAACAAAAAAGAAGUGUGCAUAAGCAGACCAAACAAAAGAGAUGAUUCAUAAAAGUACAAUGAACAAACAAUUGCAGAAAAAGAAAACAAAUCGAUGAAAACAAUAAAGGGAAAACGAAAAACCUACCAGUUUGAAGCUUCAAGAAUCUGAGCUGUAGAAGUUAGCUGAGAGAAGGCGAUGGUUCACUUUUGAUUCGACUGAUUUCAGUAUAUAUGUAAUGGCAAUAGGACAGCAUACAUGCAAAUAUAGAACCAUCCACGUGUUGAACGACCAAUAAAAGAGGGCUAGAAAGAGUCCUAUAGGAAGUCUCAACUCCCCAAUCCCCCAGGAUGAGGGGUGAACCUUUUGUCUGAUUCAUUCUCAGCUAUUUUGCAUUCGACCGACUGAGAAUUCAGAAAAAAAGCUUAUAUAUUUCAGUAACCAAUAGUCGCAAAAAUAAGAAAGUUACUUCCUGCAAUUAGACAACAUAACAACAAUCUGAAAUAUAAGGAAAGAACAUCUAAAUUACAUUACAUUAUAUCUUUAGUGUUCAUGUCUCGCAAAAAUCAGAGUUUAUUAAAACUUUAAGGGAAUAUGCAUAAGUACCCCCAGCCUAUGCCCAAAAUCUCUGAGACACACCUAACAUUUACUAAGAUCCUAUUACUUCCGAACUUAUUUUUUUAAUUAAUUUUCUACUCCUUUUCGGCCUACGUGGCACUAUUCUUGAAAAAAUUGUCAACACGCGCUAGGCCCACAAGAUAGUGUCACUUAGACCGAAAAGGGGUAGAAAAUUAUAUAUAAAAUAAGUUCGGGGGUAAUAGGACCUUAGUAAAGGUUAGGUGUGUCUCAAGGAUUUUGGGCAUAGGUUCGGGGUACUUAUGCAUUUUCCCUUAUUUUAAGUAUAUAGUGCAGUGAUCAUUUGCUCAAUUAACUUAGGCGUUCAACUUUGUUAUUGGGAGUUAUUAAAUUAACAAAAUGGUGGUCAUAGAAGAAGUGGAAAAAAAAAAGCAGUAGAAGAAUCUGAUAAUUUGCAACAUCCGCUCUUAUUUGUUGGCGACUCACAUCUAAUAGUUUAGCAAGUACAUGUCAAUAAUGUUUUUCAUCCUUAUUAUAGUUGAUUCAAUUUGGAUGUCAUUGGAUUGAACAUCCAUUUUUCUUACUUACAGAUGAAUUGAAUGGCAUUAGAUCAAAUUAGUUUUGAUAUAUCUUUGCAACUUUUGCCAAACCUCCAAAGUACUCAAUUUAGCCAAAAGUAAGAUACAUGUUAAAAGUAGGAAUAAUUUAUCAUACAAACCGGGAGGGCAAGCCAUUAUGUUCAACUUCUAUAACUUAAAUGUUGGACCGGCCAUGCUCCUCUAGUAUAUAUAUAUAUAUAUAUAUAUAUGAUAAUAUAACCCAGAAGAGAACAAAGUAUGUAUAUAAGUUUUUAAUAAUUGUUUUAAAAAAAACACCUUCAAAAACAAUAUUGAAUUGAUCAUACAUUUUAGAUCCUCUAGUUUCUGGGCACACUCUUUGCGCGUGUAACCCAUUUUAAUAAGUAUUUUAUUUCCUUAAAACUUAAAUAUUAUUAAAUAAUAUGAUUUGAGUUCUUUUUAUAAAAUGUGUCUAAUUGAAGUUUCUUACUCUGUCUCACUACUAAUUGUGAUACUCCGAUUUCAUGACCUCCAAGUGAAUGCAUCGAAAUAAUAAUAUGAGAAGUUAAUAAAAUAAACUUUAUUUAUAAGUUAAAAAAUGAGUUCAUAAAGCAAAAGGGAAAAAAAUGAAAGCAAUCUAAUUUUUUUUUAAAAUAAUUAUAGUAUUAAAAGUUUUUUUUGUUGGUAGAAUAGUGCUAGAAGAUCAAAAGAUUGCAUGAGAUUAAUCCCCUUCAAAUCAUAGUGUAAUAUUAAUGUUUCUUCAAUUAAAUUUUUUUUAUAGGAGAUUAUGUACUUUUUGUACCAAAAAUGGUGUAAGUUUAACUUUGACGAAAGGAAAAAAAAUUCUUUCAAGUGUUUUUAGUUUGCCUUUUGAAUCUCCCGAUAAUUCUAAUGAAUGUGUCCAAAAUAUCAUAUUAGAUUUUUGCAAGCACUUAAACUAAUUAUUUAAUUAUAAAUAUUAAAAAUUAAGGUGUAAAAAGUAUUAUUAUUUAUAUUUUGAAGAUUAGAAUAUUUAUGAACAUAACUACUAUUUUUAUAUAAAAUUUAAUUGUCUCUUCAUAUAUAACUUAUCCACUAUUCAUUUAAUGUUAUAUGUUUCACCUUCUUCGUCUUUUUUCCAAAAAAAAAAAAGGGAGUAAAACAUUCUAUGACAUUCAUCUUAAAGAUGAAAGUUAAUGUACAUGUAAAAUUAUGAAAGCGUUGCAACUUUUUAUGAAAGGCAUAAUACAUAAAUAUGCCCUUUAACUUGACUUCAAAUUACAUUUAUGCCCUUCAACUUUUGGUGUGUACAAGUAGACACUUAAAUUUGCAUAAAUUUGAACAAAUAGACACACAUGUCCUACAUGGCAUCCUACAUGUCAUUUUUUAUCCUACGUGGUGUCCUAUGUGUAUUAUGUCAUGUAGGACUCAUGUGUCUACUUAUUCAAUUUUAUACAAGUUUAAGUGCCUACUUGUGCAUAUCCAAAGUUGAAGGACAUAAAUGUAAAAUGAGGCCAAGUUAAGUGACACAUUUAUGUAUUAUGCCUUUAUGAAAAGUUGCGACUUUUAUGAAAAGUUGUGACUUNNNNNNNNNNNNNNNNNNNNNNNNNNNNNNNNNNNNNNNNNNNNNNNNNNNNNNNNNNNNNNNNNNNNNNNNNNNNNNNNNNNNNNNNNNNNNNNNNNNNNNNNNNNNNNNNNNNNNNNNNNNNNNNNNNNNNNNNNNNNNNNNNNNNNNNNNNNNNNNNNNNNNNNNNNNNNNNNNNNNNNNNNNNNNNNNNCUUCUUCUGCACAAUUAAAUAUUCGUGUACUUUGCUCCUAGUGGCUCACUGACACCAUUGUUUUUGUAUCAAUACACUGGUGAAUAGAAUCGUUCUAUCUUGAGAGGAUCUAUUUCUUUAAACCUCGGGUACUAGAUGAGAAUAAUUUCCUUAUGGGGACAAUGUGCGUGGGCUCGAUUUUUUCCUUUCUAAUUCAUUCUAUUGUUAUAGGUCCUGGUAUGUUUUUUACGGUCAUUAAUUUAUGCUUAUGUUAUUAAAUGUUGUUUUUGAGUAUAUGUUUUAAACUUUGUUGUUUAUGUUUAUGCUUUAGAUCAUUAUAUUGAAGUAAAGAUAUGUUAAUCAAGAGUUUAAUGUAAUCAUUAGACUAUUGGUGUCAUGUAGAUUAGAAUUCCUAAACUUGUAAAAUAAAUGACUUUGAUCUUUAUAGAGUUUUCAGUGGCUAAAAGAUCCAUGGGAUGUCCAAGAAGGGACUUUUGAGUGUUCAGAAGUUAUGGUGGUUCCCCACUACUUGGAGUUUUAGUUAUUCAACUUUCUAUCUUAUCGAGGCAUUCAAUCGAUUAGUGACAUCCAAAAAAUAAAGGAAUGUAGUGGAAUGGUAAGUAUUGUACUCAACCUUAACCAAAAGUUUGAGGUUCAAAUGUUGGAUUGGAGUCAAUGAAUUACCUCUCAAAGUAGAAUUAAUCAUAUUAAUCAAAUAUUAAAGAAAUGAUUAUCUCCUUAUAAACAUUAGACUAAAAGUCACAAAAAAAAGUUUUAACCAUAUUGAUCGAAACAUAAACAACAAAAUAUACCUUUUGGCUAGCAAAGUAGUGUCAUCGACUGCGAAUGAUUUUGAAUAAGGAACUUGCCAAGACAUCAUUUAAUCCAAAUUAGUUGAGCGACAUACGUUAUUUCAUUGAACUCUAAGAGGUGUGUUUUAAAAUUUUAAUUAAUUUAUCAAGUACACAACUAAUUAUAUAAGAUGUAUAAUAUUUAGAUUAUGUAUGUAGAGGCCUUGAAUAGGAGAAAAACUCUCGCAAUUGAUGAAUAAAAUGUUUGUACCAUUUUUUGAAAAUACAAAUAUAGACAAUGAAACAAUUACAUAUCGUUCUAAAGACUUUGAUGAUGAAUAACUACAGUAAAAUGAAGAAUUAAUAACAAAAAUGCAUAAACACUUUGAAUCAAAUUUUUUUGGUUUUAAGAUUAAAAAAAAAUAUUCAUUUCAUCUUUGGAUAAAAUAUUCUUGACAAUUGAUCGUAGGGUUGUAACCACUCGACAACACUUAUAUUAUCAAAUGUUCAAAAGUAGAUUAUUGACGUAGUUCUUCACUGCGCGAAGCGCGGACAAUUUACCUAGUGGUAAGUAUAUUAAACAAUUUAUUGUAACUUAAAGUUUAUAUAAAAUUAAAUAUAAUUAAGAUAUAAUCAUUUAAUAUUUAAUAAUUUGAUUAAAAUUUUAAUUUAGUGUAGGGGUAAAAUGAUAAGUAUAUUAAGAUAUUAUUGUUUAAUAUUUAAUUAAUUGAUUGAAUUUUUAGUUUAGUGUAGGGGUAAAAUGAUAAUUAUAUUAAACAAUUUAUUGUAACUUAAAAUUUAUAUAAAAUUAAAAAUACAAUUAAGAUAUUAUCAUUUAAUAUUUAAUUAUUUGAUUAAAUUAUUAAUUUAGUGUAGGGUUAAAUGAUAAGUAUAUUAAAAAAUUUAUUAAUGAUUCUUUCAUUGUCCUAAAAAUAAUUAAAAUAUUUUUAUGUAAUAUUUAAUUAAUUAAAUGUUUAAUUGUGCCUAGAGGUGAAAUGUUAAUCUAACUUUUCAUCUUUGAAGCUUCCCACUUUUAGUAAUACUAGUUCUGGACACGUGUGUUACACAUGUGUCCAUGCUAAUUUAUAUAGAAUCAUUAGAAUUAAUGAUAAAUGAACUUUCUGAUAGAACAAGAAAAUUAAAAAUAAAAUAUGCUAACAAAUCACGUGAACAUCCAGUGAAACAAAAGUAGCAAAAUAUAAAGAUUACAACAGUGACCUACAUAUAAACUUGGUAACAAUUCAUAUGUUCUUCAGAAAAAGAAAAAAAAAUUAGAAAUAAUUGAAUUAGUCAAAAUUCUUACUGGUGCAACAAUUUCUUGUUCUGCUAUCCAAGUCACUCCACCUUAAAAUAUGAAUUACUACACGUUGAGUUUUGGAUUGAAAACCCAUCACAAAUUCAUAUAUGUGAGUUUUUUUCUUCAUGAGUUUACUAUUAGGUGUGUCAAUUCAAAAGUGAACAAGAAAUUACGUACAGAGGGAGUAUUUAUUAGUAGCUAGCUAUCUUGUUCCCACUUAUAUAAUACUAUAAUAGUGCUUCCUUUGUCCCUAAUUACUUGUCCAUUUUGACAGAUCAAGAAAGGACAAUGUUUUUUACCUAUUAUACCCUCAAUUAAUUACUUUGAAAAAGGUUGAACUUCUUGAAAAUCUUAAGUUUUUAAUUCAUCCACUUCAUAAUUAAUAGGGAUAAAAUGGUAAAUUCACUAUACCAAUAAUUAUUUUCUUAAUAAGUGUGUCAAUUCAAAAGUGGAUAAGUAAUUAGGGACAGAGGGAGUAGUAAACAAUAAAUAUAUCAAGUUAGUUUAAUUGGACUAACUUUUCAAUUUUCCAAAAAAAUUUUACACUUUCAAAAAAUGUGCAUGUGCAGAAGUAUUUACGAAAAAUAAUUUAAUGAAGAUAAAUCAAAUACUCCUUAUGAAAAUAACAAGGAAUGUGGAAGGUUGUGAAAAAUAAUUAAUAGGUGAGAAGAAGAAAAAUUAAAAUAAUUAGCAGUAAUAAUUGAGGUAAUUCAUAUUGUUAUAAAUGAAGUUUUUAGAGGCAAAGUAUAUGUGUAAGUUACAUUACAUAUGCUCGUAAUAGGUGAAAAAAUCAAAUUGACUUACUAAAGAAGAAAUUGUUCAACUUCUCAUUUAUGUAAGAAGUUACAAAAGUACGUAAUGGGGGAAUAAAUUAGUUUCACUCAUUUAGGGAGAAUUGAAUGUGGAGGAUUAAAAUAUGAUUAUUGUUGAGUUUUUUUAUUUACUCACAAUCUAUGUAAUUCAAACAUUACUAUUUAAUUUGAUUUUAAUUCAUCAAUGAAGGGCCGUAAAUUUUGUAUUGUGCUAAACUUGGUCUUCUUCUCCAAGUAAUUAAAAUAUGAUUGUAUAAUAUUUAAUUAGAUAUUUUAUGAUAUUUUGAUUUAUUGCAAUAGUGAACUUGUAAUUCGACGUUGAUAAUAAAAGCUAAUACAAUAUGAUAUAAUUAAAUAUAGGAUAACUAAUUCAGUCUUCAAAAAAGGAGUAAAAAUGUCUAGUAACUUUCUAUGGACAUUUUUGUCUUUCAAUUUUGAAUUUGAUACAUAUGAUAUGCUUUUUAUUUAAUAUUCAAUUAAUUAAUUAGAUGUUACAGAGUAAUUUUUUAUUGAGUGGAGGGACAAAAUGGUAAUCCAACUUAAGGUCCCACUUUUAAUAUAUCAUAUGAUAUGAUGAUUACACCAACAUACAUGGCAAAUAAAUCCUAAAUUUACAUAGACAAAUGAGAAAAUGAACAGCAACUUGUGCACGCACAUACAAUGAAGUCCUGGUCAAGUACGUUGUAAAUAUGAGAGCUCGAAGGGCAUAAAAGCUUCACAGUAGGGUUUCUCGUAUCAUGAGUGUAACGUACCCCCACCGUUAACAAAUGAACUGGACUUUCCAGGAUAGAUCAACACCGUCUCAUUCUUCAUGGCAUGCAUUUUAUGCCAAAGAGCUGCUUGACCAAAUGGAUCUCCACAGAGAUUUCCAGCUCCAUGGGACGCGCCUUGUGGUUCUUGAUUUUACCAAACCUAUAAAAAUGAAAGGAAGUAGGACAUCUGCAUUUUGUUUUGCAGCUUAUGAUAUCAUGGUGCUUUGGUGAAUUUUAAGUCUGAAAAAAUUACAGUGAUGUGAUCUGAAUCUCACAUCAGAACAAUGUAUUUAUAAUAGCCUGGGAAAGCAAACUAAAAGGGAGGUGCAGCUAAAUCUUCUUCUACCUUGUUAUCCUUGCAUCUCUUUAGUAGGAGGAACUGCCCUCGCAGGUGCAAAAUCUGCAGUUACCCAGAAGAAUAUUCAGAAAUCUAUUACACCUUGAACUUAGUCAAUUGGUCAAAGAUGCAUAGCAUAAGACAUUAAACGGCUGAAUAACAUGCACAAGACAGAAUUAUGUGCCUUAGGUUUCACUACUGUGUAUGAGAUUAUCAGUCGCAUGUUCCUUCAGUUUGACUAGAAAUGAAUUAUCAGUAACAUGAUAACCUGCUUCAAGGGGAGAGCUUACUUCCAUAAAGUACAAUGCAGGGAAAUAGAUAUUUAACAUGAUAUGUCAUAUAUAAAAGAGAACCUUAGGCUCGCCUACAUGGCGCCACUACAAACCAGAAUUCCCUUUUAAUUUAUUUAUUUAUUUACAAAAUUAGCUUUUCCCUUUCAUGAAAAGUUGUGACUUUAAUGAAGAAUUGCGACUUUUAUGAAAAGUUGCGACCUUUCCGAAGAGUUGCAACUUUUCCAAAUAGUUGUAACCAUUCCGAUAAGGCACAAUAAACAUUUGUUCACACUACCCUUUGUUGUCUAUAAAUAGAGGGAUUUCCUCUCAUUUUAAAACAACAAAAAUUAUGACCCUCUUCUUCUUCUUCUUCUUCACAAUUAAAUAUUCAUGUACUUUCCUCCUAUUGAAUGACUCAUUGACACCAUUGCUUAUGUUACAAGUCCUGGUAUGUAUUUUUAUAGUCAUUAAUUUAUGCUUAUGUUAUUAAGGAUAAAUGAUAAGAUGUAAUAAUUUCAUUUCCUUUACAUUAUUAAUCUUUAUUACUACGUAAUAUUGUAUGUAAGAUAAUAUAGUGUUUUAGUUUUAAUGACCGAUAGGUUUUAAGUAUUAUUUUAUAAUUUCCAUGAUAUUAAAUUCUUGCGCGAUCGAAGCGCGGGUAAUUUUACUAGUUAAUCUUAUAAAGGAAAAAACAAUAGGACCCAUAGUAAGUACCUACGAAUUAAAAAGGGGGUAGAAAGCUCUAUUAUAGGAAUGAAGGUCUUUCCAAGUGCUCGCGUGAAUUUCCAAUAAAAAUGACAACAAAAUCAAAAGUCUCAAACCUAGCUAGUUGGGGUCGUUGUACAAAUCCUCUCCAUUUGGAUUCUUUCAUUACAAUACUCUAUUGUUAAGAGUAAUCAUAAAAUUGACUAGCUUUCUGCUAACCGUUAACCUACUGCAACCUUCUUUUCUGGGCUUCCCAAGACAAAAUAACAAAUAGGGAUCUUAAAACAGAAACGCAAAUGUGAUGGAGAUAAUGUACAAUGGUACCUAUUCUUGCAACAAAGGAGGCAGGUUUUCUGCUGAGACAAGGUUCUCUAUCUCCUGCAAGACUUUCAUAUCUUUUAUGUGAGACCAUGUUUGUGGAGGUAAUGCCAGCAACAGUGCUGUCAGCACAUCGUUGCUUCCAGGGUGCAUUGGUGAGCAACCAUUUUUCCCCGAAGAACAGCAGCUAGUCUUUGCUUGAGAUGUAGGGACCAGUACAUCAACCCCCUGCUCCCCAUUCCCAUUCCCAUUCCCAUUUACAACUGUCCCAGACACCACUGUAGCAGGAUUGUCCCCCGUAGCUCUGUAGCAUCUGACACAUGUUUGGCGACAGCAAAACCUAUCCGACAAACCAGACCUUCCUGCAAAAAUGUCUGCUCCUUGGCAACAAAUGCUCGCAGCAACAUUGGUCAAACUGCUUUCCAUUUCUGCUUUUAACUGAUAGACAGAAUCUUCUGCAAGUAAAAGGCUUGUGACAUGCUUAUAAAGAGGAGUGUCCUGCAGUACUUGUUUCAAUACCUCUUCCUGCAGAGUAAGGUAAGAGUGCUUACUGAACUCAUAAAUAAUGACCUAUCCUGCAACCGUUAUCCGAUUAAAACUGGAGAUGGGAAUAUGCAAAAGAAUAUGACCAUUUCUGAAGCCUUUUUUAAAUUCAAUUUACUAAAAUUAUCCAGAUACCUAACCUUGAUUGCUAGCCUUCCUUUCUCCUCUUCACUCAGCUUUUGACCAUUCUCCUCUUGCCUUCGAACUUCUGCUACCCACUUUAUGAAUUCAGCAAAAUUGGGAGGUAGAUUUGAAAGAAGAGUAGAGAGAACAUCUUUUAUGUCCUUCACAUUCUCAGAACUUAGGAGGACAGGAAGAUCAUCCAUCAAAUGCUUUGAGAUAGAGACCCAACUCUCAUGUUUACAACUCUGUAAGAGCACACUAUUCAGAAUGCAUGAAUAGUCACAGAAAGGAGAAAAUCCAAGAGUAUUUCGACAAAGUACAUUCUUCCCUCUUUAUAAUAGAAUAUAUCACAUAACAAAGUACAUAUUAAUUAGUUCUAAAGGACAAUAUUGUCAAAAUCCAUAAAUAUUGCAAUGACAUCAUGGUUCUGAAGCAAAAGUUCAAGCUAAUCUCCUGUCACUAAGACCAAUUCCCAAGUAUUUGACAAAGAUGCCAUCAUUAUGUUCUAGCAUGUAAUAAAAUAGGUUAAAGAAGUGGUUUACAACAAUCUGACCAAGCCGGUGUACUGAAAAGGAUCAACUAGCAAAGGGACUAGCAGGCAGUAAUAGGAGCUUGACUACAUCCUUGUGUUACCAAAAUUCCAAUACCUUUAGCCACUAAUGAAAACAUUAUUCAGCUAAACAAGAGGAAAAUAAGAAAGCUUAUGAGAGAUUCAGAUUUUGAAUUGAAUAGAAGUUGCUUGUUGUAGUUUAUCCUAAGGAGUUUACUUAUAAAACCAAGUGGUAUAAUACGAGCUACUUAAGCCUUACCAGGGUAUAUAGCAGUGCAGGAGCUCUAUGAAGCUUAGAGACAAGCAUAAACCUGAAAAUUAUGUGUUUGCACAUAAGUCACUGAAAUCCAUGCUGCAAGUAUGAGAUGGAGUAAGAAGGACCGCUAAAUUUGGACAGAAGAGGAAUAGGAAAAGAAAAAAAUGAAGAGAAAAAACAGUUAUAUUUGAAGAAGACCAGAAGCAGUGCUGAAACAGUUGAGCAAUCAAUUUCUUUGAUUUCCAAUUUUCAUCUUUAAUAUAAGAGGGAAGACCAAAUCACAUAGUAAAACAUCUUCCUCUACAUAUUUAUAUUCCUAAGCAAAUGCUUAGAAAUUAUCAGUUGACAGCUAAAAAGCAUGAAUGAGACGCUGUUCAAGGUAAGGCGGAUGUCAACAGCUUAUAAUGAAAAUCAAGAUAUAUCACACUGUAGCUAUGUGGAAUUAUAUACCCCCUAUGUAAUCCUGUAGCUUCAUCAAUUGUGUUCAUGGCUUCCCAAAGGAGAGGGACGGGAACCCAGUGAGGGGGAUAUUUAAACCUUGCAACAUCUAGAAUCAGUGCCAUAUCCUUUUCCGCGUGAUAACCACCAAUAGGUGAAAAGUGGCCUGAACCUGUCUGCCAUAAGAUUCAGAAGAGAUGUUCCAAUCUUCAGGAUAAGUCAAGAAGGGGUACUAUAAACCUUCAUAAAUAAACAAUUAGCAAUAUUACCAAUAAUAUUCCUGAGGGACCAAACUCCCAAUACAACAAUAUACUUCUUCACAAUGAUAAGCAGGAGCAUAGAGAAGCUAUGUUUAUAUUUACCUGUUUAAAAAGUCCUCGAUGAUAAGAUGAGAUCAGAUGACAAUCAUCACUAGUUGUGCAGGCCAUGACAUGUUUACGGAAGUCAUCAAUGGUGCUAAGAUUAGAGCGAAAAGCUUCCACCUUCGCUCCUGCACAGUGAGCCAAACAUACCACUUUCCCAAAGGAGAUCCCUUUAGCUUUAACCUUCUCCAAUGGCUCACAGCAGUCCAACAUGGAUUCAUCGAACCAUCUCCAAGGCCCUGACAGUUUGUUGAAGCUGAUAAGAUAAAAGCAGCGACAUUGUACGACACUAAAAACGAGCUCAUUGACGUAAGCAGAAUAGGACAAGGAUAUGACCAACCAAGUUUGAAAGAAUAGAACGUGCAGCAUCAAAUAGUUUCAGGUGAUGAAAGCUAAGAACGUAAAAGCUGUCCUCAAUUCACUAAACUCCUUUUUUUCAACCUUUGACUCUUGAAUAUCAGUAGACAAUAGUAACAAAGUAUAACCCUGAUAUAUAAAAGUGGCUAGGUUUCAUGUUGAGUGCUAGAUGAUCUGAGAGUGAUGUCAAUGCAUCACAACAAAUCAUAUCAACUUACAACGCUCAGAGACAAGGCACCAACAACUCUGUGCUUAUAUUUUAUAACUAACAUGAGCAGGGGAUAGGCAAAAAUUAUUGGAAAAUACAAACAUAAAGACAUUUUCAUCAAAGAAAAUAAACAUAAAACUUAAAUGGAGCCCAAGACCUUAUUAACAAUUCAGGAGAUAAGGCCAUGAAAAAGUGAAGAUCACAAUCAUGAGGAAGGAUAGGAACACAACUUCAGUAGAUGAUAGGUUAUAGGAGAAUUACCUUUCCAUUUUCUUCCGGGAUCAAUAGCAAGGGUGUUGAUACUUGCAUUUCCACUUGUUUUCUUCAUAAGUAGUAGUAAGAGUAAUAUAUUAAGAGUUGAAAAGACCAUAGUAUGAUAUUUUCACAAGACAAUUUCCGACAGAAUCAGAGAUCAAUUCUCACUUAAUGCAUUUUUUUCGUGAUGUAUUCAUAUUCUAAAAAUCUUUAGAUUCACCUCUGUAUGUUAUAUAUAUGAUCCUCGAAAGAAUGUUUGAUGUUUUAAAUAACUUUAGCCUGACUACAAUCUUGUGUUUGAUUUAAAUCCAUAUGGUUCUUUUUUCUCGAAUAUAAAACCCAUAAACAUAGCAGGUAAGACUGUGUACAGUAAACUCUUGUAAUCCGAUCCUUCCUCGAAUCAAGUGCAUAAAAUUGUAGCUCCUUAAUGCACACAAGCUUAAUACUUUCCAGUACUCUUUGGCUACUGCUGCAUGAGGAACACUACUUCACUGUCAAGAAUUUCAAUAUUCCCUAAAUAUUUCUCUAAUCAUGGAGAUAAUAUCAAGCACCAAAGGCUUAUUCAGUUACUUCAAGAACCAAAUUGGAUUCAAUCUCUCGACGCAACUAAGGCUCUUCACGCACUCACAAUAACAAUGGGGCAACACCCAACUCAACCCUUUUUGGCGAAUAACACUAUCAUGUUCAAGUAUUCU
rnacentral:lncRNA from 1 species